UAUGGCUAUAUCACAUUGAAACACCAGUUCCCGUAGAAUCACCGAAGUUAAGCAACGUCGAGCGCUCUCACUACCUAGUUUGGUAACCGCUUGGAAAUGCCAGGGGCUGUAAG